GCCUACGGGAGGCAGCAGUAGGGAAUCUUUCACAAUGGGCGAAAGCCUGAUGGAGCAACGCCGCGUGCAGGAUGAAGGCCUUCGGGUUGUAAACCUCUUUUGUCAGGGAGCAAAGUCACCCACGUGUGGGUGUUGGAGAGUACCUGAAGAAAAAGCAUCGGCUAACUCCGUGCCAGCAGCCGCGGUAAUACGGAGGAUGCGAGCGUUAUCCGGAUUUAUUGGGUUUAAAGGGUGCGUAGGCGGGUUAUCAAGUCAGCGGUAAAAUCGUGGAGCUCAACUCCAUCCAGCCGU
rnacentral:rRNA from 1 species